rnacentral:rRNA from 1 species
AAAUUGAAGAGUUUGAUCAUGGCUCAGAUUGAACGCUGGCGGCAGGCCUAACACAUGCAAGUCGAACGGUAGCACAGAGAGCUUGCUCUUGGGUGACGAGUGGCGGACGGGUGAGUAAUGUCUGGGAAACUGCCCGAUGGAGGGGGAUAACUACUGGAAACGGUAGCUAAUACCGCAUAACGUCGCAAGACCAAAGUGGGGGACCUUCGGGCCUCACACCAUCGGAUGUGCCCAGAUGGGAUUAGCUUGUUGGUGAGGUAAUGGCUCACCAAGGCGACGAUCCCUAGCUGGUCUGAGAGGAUGACCAGCCACACUGGAACUGAGACACGGUCCAGACUCCUACGGGAGGCAGCAGUGGGGAAUAUUGCACAAUGGGCGCAAGC